rnacentral:rRNA from 1 species
CGGCCUUGACAUACUAAGAACUUUCCAGAGAUGGAUUGGUGCCUUCGGGAACUUAGAUACAGGUGCUGCAUGGCUGUCGUCAGCUCGUGUCGUGAGAUGUUGGGUUUAAGUCCCCGCAACCGAGCGCAACCCUUUUCCUUAUUUGCCAGCGGGUCAUGCCGGGAACUUUAAGGAUACUGCCAGUGACAAACUGGAGGAAGGCGGGGACGACGUCAAGUCAUCAUGGCCCUUACGGCCAGGGCUACACACGUGCUACAAUGGUCGGUACAAAGGGUUGCUACCUCGCGAGAGGAUGCUAAUCUCAAAAAGCCGAUCGUAGUCCGGAUCGCAGUCUGCAACUCGACUGCGUGAAGUCGGAAUCGCUAGUAAUCGCGGAUCAGAAUGCCGCGGUGAAUACGUUCCCGGGCCUUGUACACACCGCCCGUCACACCAUGGGAGUUUGUUGCACCAGAAGUAGGUAGUCUAACCGCAAGGAGGACGCUUACCACGGUGUGGCCGAUGACUGGGGUGGAAGUCGUAACAAGGUAGGCGUAGAUGA